rnacentral:misc_RNA from 1 species
AGCAGUGGGAAUACCUACGGGAGGCAGCAGUGGGACCCACUCCUACGGGAGGCAUCCCUGGGACUCCUACGGGAGGCAGCAGUGGGACAGUUGGCUCAGAACGAACGCUGGCGGCCCACUCCUACGGGAGGCAGCAGUGGGACUCCUACGGGAGGCAGCAGUGGGACUCCUACGGGAGGCAGCAGUGGGACCCACUCCUACGGGAGGCAGCAGUGGGACUCCUACGGAAGGCAGCAGUGGGACAGUUGGCUCAGAACGAAUGCUGGCGGCUGGCUCAGAACGAACGCUGGCGG